rnacentral:tRNA from 2 species
GGGGAUGUAGCUCAAUGGUAGAGCACUUGCCUGGCAUGCAUGAGACUCUGGGUUGGAUCCAUCUUCCCUA